rnacentral:rRNA from 1 species
UACAGAGGUCUCAAGCGUUGUUCGGAUUCAUUGGGCGUAAAGAGCGUGUAGGCGGUCCGGUAAGUCGGCUGUGAAAGUCGAGGGCUCAACCCUCGAAUGCCGGCCGAAACUGCCGGGCUAGAGUCCGGAAGAGGCGAGUGGAAUUCCCGGUGUAGCGGUGAAAUGCGCAGAUAUCGGGAGGAACACCAAUGGCGAAGGCAGGCUCGCUGGGACGGUACUGACGCUGAGACGCGAAAGCGUGGGGAGCGAACAGG